UGUUAUCCGGAAUCACUGGGCGUAAAGCGUCUGUAGGUGGUUUAGUAAGUCUAUUGUUGAAGCUUGAGGCUCAACUUCAAAUCAGCGAUGGAAACUGCUAGACUAGAGUGUGGUAGAGGUAAGAGGAAUUUCCAGUGGAGCGGUGAAAUGCGUAGAUAUUGGAAAGAACACCGAUGGCGAAGGCAUCUUACUGGGCCAUAACUGACACUCAGAGACGAAAGCUAGGGUAGCAAAUGGGAUUAGAUGCCCCAGUAGUCCUAGCAGUAAACGAUGGAUACUAGAUGUUGCCCGUAUCAACCCGUGCAGUGUCAAAGCUAACGCGUUAAGUAUCCCGCCUGGGAAGUAUGCACGCAAGUGUGAAACUCAAAGGAAUUGACGGGGGCCCGCACAAGCGGUGGAGCAUGUGGUUUAAUUUGAUGCAACGCGAAGAACCUUACCAGGGUUUGACAUGACAUGAAUUUUUCUGAGAAGAAAAAGCGCCUUUUAGGAACAUGUACACAGGUGGUGCAUGGCUGUCGUCAGCUCGUGUCGUGAGAUGUUGGGUUAAGUCCCGCAACGAGCGCAACCCUUGUUUUUAGUUAUUUUUCUAGAAAGACUGCCGGUUAUAAGCCGGAGGAAGGCGGGGACGACGUCAAGUCAGCAUGCCCCUUAUACCCUGGGCUACACACGUGCUACAUUGGGUAAGACAAUGAGUCGCGAGCCUGUGAAGGUCAGCAAAUCUAUAAACUUACUCUAAGUUCGGAUUGUAGGCUGCAAC
rnacentral:rRNA from 1 species